AACGCUGGCGGCAUGCCUAAUACAUGCAAGUCGAACGAGAGUGCUUGCACUCUAGUGGCGAACGGGUGAGGAACACGUAAGGAACUUGCCCCAAAGACGAGGAUAACCACGGGAAACUGUGGCUAAUACUGGAUAGGAUAUAGAUUCGCAUGAACCUAUAUUUAAAGGUGCGUUUGCAUCACUUUGGGAGAGCCUUGCGCAGCAUUAGCUAGUUGGUAGGGUAACGGCCUACCAAGGCAACGAUGCUUAGCUGGACUGAGAGGUUGAACAGCCACACUGGGACUGAGACACGGCCCAGACUCCUAUGGGAGGCAGCAGUAGGGAAUUUUCGGCAAUGGGCGAAAGCCUGACCGAGCAAUGCCGCGUGAACGAUGAAGGCCUUCGGGUCGUAAAGUUCUGUUGUAAAGGAAGAAUGAUCAAAGGAGGAAAUGCCUUUGGUUUGACGGUACUUUACCAGAAAGCUCCGGCUAACUACGUGCCAGCAGCCGCGGUAAUACGUAGGGAGCGAGCGUUAUCCGGAAUUAUUGGGCGUAAAGCGUGCGUAGGCGGCGUGUUAAGUCGAAUGUGAAAGCCCACAGCUUAACUGUGGAGGGUCAUUCGAAACUGGCAUGCUAGAGUACGGCAGAGGUUAGUGGAAUUCAAUGUGUAGCGGUAAAAUGCGUAGAUAUAUUGAGGAACACCAGUGGCGAAGGCGGCUAACUGGACCGGAACUGACGCUGAGGCACGAAAGCGUGGGUAGCAAACAGGAUUAGAUACCCUGGUAGUCCACGCCGUAAACGUUGAGAACUAAGUGUUGGGGUUACCCAGUGCUGAAGUUAACGCAUUAAGUUCUCCGCCUGGGAAGUACGAUCGCAAGAUUGAAACUCAAAGGAAUUGACGGGUCUCCGCACAAGCGGUGGAGCAUGUUGUUUAAUUCGAAGAUACGCGAAGAACCUUACCAGGGCUUGACAUGUCCGGAAUCCCGGUGAAAGCUGGGAGUGCCUUCGGGAGCCGGAACACAGGUGGUGCAUGGCUGUCGUCAGCUCGUGUCGUGAGAUGUUGGGUUAAGUCCCGCAACGAGCGCAACCCUCGUCUUUAGUCGCCAGCAUUAAGUUGGGCACUCUAGAGAGACUGCCGGUGACAAACCGGAGGAAGGUGGGGAUGACGUCAAGUCAGCAUGCCCCUUACGCUCUGGGCGACACACGUACUACAAUGGUCGGGACAGAGGGCAGCGAACCUGCGAAGGCAAGCUAAUCCCAGCAAACUCGGCCUCAGUUCAGAUCGCAGGCUGCAACUCGCCUGCGUGAAGGAGGAAUCGCUAGUAAUCGCCGGUCAGAAUAUGGCGGUGAAUCCGUUCCCGGGCCUUGUACACACCGCCCGUCACACCAUGGAAGCUGGCCACGCCCGAAGUCGUUACCCUAAC
rnacentral:rRNA from 1 species